GUUCGUGGCAUUCUCUUUGUUUUAGUGUUCUGAGUUUAUUAAAGACCAUCAUGAACACGUACCACGCUGCGCAUUGGUCCUCCGAUCCUUCCUACUCCUCCACCUCAGAAGAGGAGGAAGAUGAACGUUACACGAGCAAGAUUUCUACAUUGACACCUUUGAAAUGACUGGCAUUUGGGGGAGCAAGAAAUCAAAACUUAAGGUUAUGCUGACAAUCCCAAAAGAGGGCUCUGUUCCUCAACCCAAUGGGGGAGAGUGCCACAAAGAUAAAAAGAUGCCAAGGAAGAAAACCGUUACAUUAUGUCUGGCUGCCUGUCAGGACGAGGUUAGGCUUGAGUUCUAGGCAGCAGUAUCACCUGGGAGACUAAAUGUUCAGUCGAGCUGUUUAUCAGCUUUCCAAUAUUUGUUUGUUUUUUAUUGUCUUUUUAUAUUAUAUGUAUUGUAAUUUUAUAUCUUAUUAUGCAAAGAUCAACAUUUGUAUUUCCUAUUUAAUGCCUGUUCUGAUCAACUUUCUGUGAUGUUUUUGUGUUAUUGUGUGAUAAUAUGAGGAUUAUCUUGAUUUUCUUAAACAUUACAAAAUGAAUCUAAGAAAUGUUUCUUUAUAAUCUCAAGAAAACACCCUUGCAGAAAUCCUUCCCCCCUUCUAAUAUCCUUAAACUUGUGGCUAGGUCAAAUACUUUCUUUGGCGCACAUCAGAGUCAAAUAAUUUCUAUAGAACAAACUUAACAUCGGGAUAGGCAACCGAAAUGAAUAAUUCAUGUGUUAUAUUAAAUAUAGGAGGGAGUAAAAUGUAGGCAAGCAAUAAACAUCUCAGAACAACUACUAGUCGAAUAAGACAUGGGAGAGACGAAUUUUGGCAAAGAGAUUUAUUUAUAUCCUAAUACACUUGAAACAAAUAGCCAAACCGAAAAUUGCAGACAAUACUAGUGCCUCCCAGCGAUCCAAACCGUGAUAAAAUAUAAAAUGAAACGCAGCCUAACGUGAACAUAAAUCUCAACUCGCAAGCAAAUCGCAGCAAUAACGAAUUGAAUCCAUGCGCGCUCAUGCGAACGGGGCAUUCUGUCAGGUAAAGUUUUUCGGAACAACACCAGGCUUGAUGGAAACAGACAAUUUGUUCGUUCGACAUGGUGAGGUCUUUUUGUGUAGGUGGGAUUUUUUUAUGUGUUGGUUAAAUGUAAUAUGCAAUAAAUGGCAGUGGAAACUCCUUUAUGCGCAAAUAUUGCUUUAAUAACCCAUAUCGAAGUAAACUU